AUGUGUGUGUGCGUGUGUAUGUGUUCGUCCCUCUCUCUCCCCUGCUUCUUUUCCUCCACUCACGCCUGCUCCACCCUGGUGAGCAACAGCCUCUCCUCUC